rnacentral:rRNA from 1 species
CCUACGGGGGGCAGCAGUGAGGAAUAUUGGUCAAUGGACGAGAGUCUGAACCAGCCAAGUAGCGUGAAGGAUGACUGCCCUAUGGGUUGUAAACUUCUUUUAUAUGGGAAUAAAAUGUUCCACGUGUGGGAUUUUGUAUGUACCAUAUGAAUAAGGAUCGGCUAACUCCGUGCCAGCAGCCGCGGUAAUACGGAGGAUCCGAGCGUUAUCCGGAUUUAUUGGGUUUAAAGGGAGCGUAGGUGGAUUGUUAAGUCAGUUGUGAAAGUUUGCGGCUCAACCGUAAAAUUGCAGUUGAAACUGGCAGUCUUGAGUACAGUAGAGGUGGGCGGAAUUCGUGGUGUAGCGGUGAAAUGCUUAGAUAUCACGAAGAACUCCGAUUGCGAAGGCAGUUCACUGGACUGCAACUGACACUGAGGUUCGAAAGUGUGGGUAUCAAACAGGAUUAGAUACCCUAGUAGUC